GCCCAAUAUGUAGAGAUGUGCAUGGAACAUCUCAAUGAUUAAGAUGGCUAUGAAUUACUAACAUGUGACCCAACAUCUAAAUUUGUCAACCAACUACGACAACUUCUAACAGGAGCCCUGGAAAAUAACCUAAUUCCCAGUAACGAAUAUCGCUUUAUGUUUAAAGUCAAACCCACUAUGGCUACAAUGUAUUGCCUACACAAGGUCCACAAAAAUUAGCAAAAUCUACCUGGAUGCCCAAUAAUUUCAGGAAAAGGGUCACUGACAGAGAAGUGCAGUAUCUUUGUAGAUUGAAUUUUAUGUCCGCUUGUGGUACAAACACUCAUUCAUCCAAGACACAAGCUCAGCAAUUGAAAAACUCACCCAAUUAAUAUGUACAUCUAAUUCACAUCUAGCAAGUCUAGAUGUGGUUUCUCUAUACUCCCAAUAUCCCUCAUGAAAUUGUUUUAAAUGCCUGCAAAGAUUCAAUGCUUGAAUAAAAAUCAUACCGUCCCCAACUUUGUGCUUUUACCAUUGAAUUAUUGACUUUCAUUCUGAAACAUAAUUUCUUCACCUUCAAUGGCAGGAUCUACCUUCAGAUACGGGGCACAGCUAUGGGCACAUGCUGUGCCCCAACCUAUGCCAACUUGUUUCUGGCAUGGUGUGAAUUUUUUUUUAUUUACAAUCAACCAACAUUUC